UGUAGCCCUGCCAUGCCCUCAUCAACAUCAUUUUUGAGCCAGUCAAACAAAUGCCCGUACUUGCCUAGACAUUCCCAUGAGCUACUUUCUGGAUUCAACAACUUUUAUAAACCUGGCUCGUCGAUUGGUCUUCAAUGGUCAUCUUGCACAACGAAGAUUGAGGCUGAUUGAACGCACCAGUUCCUCUUCCAUGGCAACGCAUAACCAGGUGACAUCAUAGAGAAGGAGGGCGCUGAGAAGAACGUGUCUAAACUCUAAACGGAUCAACAAGGUUUGAGCCCUUAUCAGGGGCGGCAGGAAAUGAGGAGGAUAAGGACAAGAAAACGAAGAGAGAAGGAACAGAGUGGUCAGAAUAAUUAUAACGUACGCUGGUGCUGAAAUGUGUCUGCACUCUGACUUAGCUCCGCGGCUAGCCAAAGCACACAAGGAGAAAAAAGAUCUGCUUUCAAGAACGGCUAAUAGUAUUUGACAUAAUUUACGACCGACUUGACGUAUUGUGACAUGUCGAACCUGUUGGACUCCCCCCCCCCCCCCUUUCUGAGUCCUCCAGCAAUCUUGGAGUAGUUUAAAGCCGCCUACAUGGAAGAAGCUUAUCUAUCUUGGAGCAAAGAGAUUCCCUGUCUGUAACAAAUCAUGCAUCUUGAUUAGUUGGACCGUGCCAUGAGCUGGGGAUACGGGUAACUGAAUUUGGUAACGAUCCCUCCGAUUCCCAACCUUGGACGGCCGCUCAACGUGAUGUUCUUUCCAGAUAGAGCGAAAGCAAAAUCCAAACCCGACUGCCGAAAAAUGAUCUUCGAGUGAGUUUAGCCUGAAAAUGGAAGAUUCCAGCUGAGAUCGUAUCGCUCUAAUUCAGGAUUGUGUCCGUGUGUCUUUCACAUGUUUGAACCUCGCUCCGGAGUCUAGCACUUCAUCUGUUUUCUCACCUCGGGCCCUGCGCCGUUUCUCAGGCUUCAUGGUUCUUGUUAUACUGGGAAGACCUUCAGUGAGCUGACUUUGAACCCCAAUCCAAUUUCUUGCUGCAACCUAAAACCAUAAAGAGACACUUUUAAAGAGUCUUUGUUUCGGUCAUUGAGGAAAGGAAACAGUCUUUUUUCUUUGGGGAUGUGUUUGUACUCAAAAUAGUAGAUCCUUUGUUUCAAAAGGCUUUCAUUUGUUAUGGCUGCGAGCCUCUGUUUUUGCUGCAGUUCGGAGUAAAUGAAGUUGGGAGAAAGUUUUCUUGACUCCGAGCACAAGUUUGUGUUUCUUUGGAUGGUUAUGGUUUGUGCUAAAACCAUGGACUUAGUCGUUCAGUAGUCUUCCACUCUAGCGGUGGGGAAAAGAGGGAAAGUCCAAUAAUCUUGUUUGACAGUUGGGAGCAGGGGGCGCAUGGCUAUGGUGUCCCACAAUGCAACUGUAAAAACAAACAGCGUGCAACUGCGCAAAGAGCGGGAGGGCGGGGGCGGGGGGGUGAUCUUCACCCCUCUGGAGAACGCCUGCAUGUACGCACGCAGACCAUACUACAGGCCUCACAUGUGCCAGACAUUAAUCCUGUCCACUUCACACCCACAUGUGUGUUAUGACAACCACAACUUAUAUAUGUGUCUUGAUUUCUUUUGCCUUUGCCUCGGUUGUUUUUUUUCGGUGCAAGUCGGGGGGUGAGGGGGUUCUAAUCCUGUUAAGACCUGCCAGGGCUAAUACAAUGACAGGUCAAGCCACCGUCACUAACACUCCACCAUCACCUCAAGAUCAGGGGUGUUGACACGGGAGAGGAGAGCGGCCGUGUUGCUUCUGAGGUAGUUACAUUCAAACCGUGGGGAAUCACUCCUGACGGUUUGGUACGUGAGGAAGGCGUGGAGAUGGCCAUUUGUUCUGUGUCGGGCCCGGGAGUGGAAACCACAGCAAGUUCUGUGUUUACAGCCGAGAUGACUUUUUCCACUGUUGGUGACAAAGGACGUGUCUUUUUAAAACCAAAGUACAAAGCAACAUUAAAGGCUUUCCAAUCUUCCA